AAAAUUUGAUGUGUUUAUUUUCAGAACCUUCAGAGUUAGUUAAAAGAGAUUGGAAUAAGCACAGAGGAACCUGGGGGAAACGGUCUUCUGCAGAAAGCUUGAUUGAGACGUUAGAGAAAGUAAAGCGAGAUUGGAACAAAUCCAG